CCUACGGGUGGCAGCAGUGAGGAAUAUUGGUCAAUGGGCGGGAGCCUGAACCAGCCAAGUCGCGUGAGGGAAGACGGUCCUAUGGAUUGUAAACCUCUUUAGGCGGGGAGCAAUGCCGGGCACGCGUGCCCGGAGGGAGAGUACCCGCAGAAUAAGCAUCGGCUAACUCCGUGCCAGCCGCCGCGGUAAUACGGAGGAUGCGAGCGUUAUCCGGAUUUAUUGGGUUUAAAGGGUGCGUAGGCGGAUUUUUAAGUCAGCGGUAAAAUGUCCGGGCUCAACCCGGGCGGGCCGUUGAAACUGGGGAUCUUGAGUGGGCGAGAAGUAUGCGGAAUGCGGGGUGUAGCGGUGAAAUGCAUAGAUAUCACGCAGAACUCCGAUUGCGAAGGCAGCAUACCGGCGCCCGACUGACGCUGAGGCUCGAAAGCGUGGGGAUCGAACAGGAUUAGAUACCCUUGUAGUC
rnacentral:rRNA from 1 species